GACGAACGCUGGCGGCGUGCCUAAUACAUGCAAGUAGAACGCUGAAGGAGGAGCUUGCUCUUCUGGAUGAGCUGCGAACGGGUGAGUAACGCGUAGGUAACCUGCCUGGUAGCGGGGGAUAACUAUUGGAAACGAUAGCUAAUACCGCAUAACAGUAGAUGUUGCAUGACAUUUACUUAAAAGGUGCAAUUGCAUCACUACCAGAUGGACCUGCGUUGUAUUAGCUAGUUGGUGGGGUAACGGCUCACCAAGGCGACGAUACAUAGCCGACCUGAGGGGGUGAUCGGCCACACUGGGACUGAGACACGGCCCAGACUCCUACGGGAGGCAGCAGUAGGGAAUCUUCGGCAAUGGACGGAAGUCUGACCGAGCAACGCCGCGUGAGUGAAGAAGGUUUUCGGAUCGUAAAGCUCUGUUGUAAGAGAAGAACGAGUGUGAGAGUGGAAAGUUCACACUGUGACGGUAUCUUACCAGAAAGGGACGGCUAACUACGUG
rnacentral:rRNA from 1 species